rnacentral:lncRNA from 1 species
AGGUAUAGAAGCAUGCCAUGUUUUCAUUUAAAGCAUCAGCAGAAGGCAAGAAAGAAAGAAUACUUUGUACUGAUUGAUUGAUUAUUUGGGUCAAUGCUGCUUGACAGAUUCUGAAGAACAAGAGGGGAAUAUAGACUGGGUGAUAAGCAUCUCUCAAUCUAAGGAAGAUAGCAAAUGAUAUGAACUCCUCUGAGAAGAUUUUGGUACCAAAACGAAUAUUCAAGAUUAAUUUGCUUCCCUUUCCUACUGGGGAGGAUCCAGUAUAUGGAAGCAUGCCAUAUUUCACUUAAAGCUUCAGCAGAAGGC